GACGAACGCUAGCGGCGUGCCUAAGCUAUGCAAGUCGAGCGGGGUUUCAGAGUCGAGUUUCCUUCGGGAGACAAAGCACUGAAACCUAGCGGCGAACGGGUGAGUAACACGUGAGCAACCUACCCUGUUGUCCGGGAUAACAGACCGAAAGGCCUGCUAAUACCGGAUACGAAGCUCCUUCGCAUGUUGGAGCUUGGAAAGGGGCAACCCGCAAUGGGAGGGGCUUACGGCCUAUCAGCUAGUUGGUGAGGUAACGGCCCACCAAGGCGACGACGGGUAGCCGACCUGAGAGGGUGACCGGCCACACUGGGACUGAGACACGGCCCAGACUCCUACGGGAGGCAGCAAGCGGGAAUCUUGCACAAUGGGCGCAAGCCUGAUGCAGCGACGCCGCGUGAGGGAUGAAGGCCUUCGGGUCGUAAACCUCUGUUGAUGGGGACGAAGAUCUGACG
rnacentral:rRNA from 1 species